rnacentral:rRNA from 1 species
AGAGUUGAUCAUGGCUCAGGAUGAACGCUGGCGGCGUGCUUAACACAUGCAAGUCGACGAAGCUCCUAAACCUGAGAUCGUCAAGGGGCGGGAUGACUAGUGGCGGACGGGUGAGUAAUGCGUGAGCAACCUGCCCUUCAGAGGGGGACAACAGUUGGAAACGACUGCUAAUACCGCAUAAAGUAUGCGAGCGGCAUCGCUUGUAUACCAAAGAUUUAUCGCUGAAGGAUGGGCUCACGUCUGAUUAGCUAGUGGUGAGGUAACUGCUCACCCAAGGCUUCGAUCAGUAGCCGGACUGAGAGGUUGGCCGGCCACAUUGGGACUGAGAUACGGCCCAGACUCCUACGGGAGGCAGCAGUGGGGAAUAUUGGGCAAUGGGCGCAAAGCCUGACCCAGCAACGCCGCGUGAAGGAAGAAGGCUUUCGGGUUGUAAACUUCUUUUGGCAGGGACGAAAUAAAUGACGGUACCUGCAGAAUAAGCUCCGGCUAACUACGUGCCAGCCGCCGC